rnacentral:rRNA from 1 species
AGUGGCAGACGGGUGAGUAACAUGUAGGUAUCUGCCCUUUGGCCUGGAAUAACACGAGGAAACUUGUGCUAAUACCGGAUAAGUCUUUACGGAGAAAGCUUUAUGCACCAUUGGAUGAGCCUGCACUUGAUUAGUUUGUUGGUGGGGUAAUGGCCUACCAAGACUGUGAUCAAUAGCUGAUUUGAGAGGAUGAUCAGCCACAUUGGGACUGAGACACGGCCCAAACUCCUACGGGAGGCAGCAGUGGGGAAUCUUGCACAAUGGAGGAAACUCUGAUGCAGCGAUGCCGCGUGAGUGAAGAAGGCCUUUGGGUUGUAAAGCUCUUUCGUCGGGGAAGAAAUGACUGUACCCGAAUAAGAAGGUCCGGCUAACUUCGUGCCAGCAGCCGCGGUAAUACGAAGGGACCUAGCGUAGUUCGGAAUUACUGGGCUUAAAGAGUUCGUAGGUGGUUGAAAAAGUUGGUGGUGAAAUCCCAGAGCUUAACUCUGGAACUGCCAUCAAAACUUUUCAGCUAGAGUAUGAUAGAGGAAAGCAGAAUUUCUAGUGUAGAGGUGAAAUUCGUAGAUAUUAGAAAGAAUACCAAUUGCGAAGGCAGCUUUCUGGAUCAUUACUGACACUGAGGAACGAAAGCAUGGGUAGCGAAGAGGAUUAGAUACCCUCGUAGUCCAUGCCGUAAACGAUGUGUGUUAGACGUUGGAAAUUUAUUUUCAGUGUCGCAGCGAAAGCGAUAAACACACCGCCUGGGGAGUACGACCGCAAGGUUAAAACUCAAAUGAAUUGACGGGGACCCGCACAAGUAGUGGAGCAUGUGGUUUAAUUCGAAGAUACGCGCAGAACCUUACCAACACUUGACAUGUUCGUCGCGACUUUAAGAGAUUAAAGUUUUCGGUUCGGCCGGACGAAACACAGGUGCUGCAUGGCUGUCGUCAGCUCGUGUCGUGAGAUGUUGGGUUAAGUCCCGCAACGAGCGCAACCCUCACUUUUAGUUGCCAUCAUUAAGUUGGGCACUCUGAAAGAACUGCCAGUGAUAAGCUGGAGGAAGGUGGGGAUGACGUCAAGUCCUCAUGGCCCUUACGUGUUGGGCUACACACGUGCUACAAUGGUAUCUACAACAGGAAGCAAGACGGCGACGUUAAGCAAAUCCUUAAAAGAUACCUCAGUUCGGAUUGCACUCUGCAACUCGAGUGCAUGAAGCUGGAAUUACUAGUAAUCGUGGAUCAGCGUGCCACGGUGAAUGCGUUCCCGGGUCUUGUACACACCGCCCGUCA